rnacentral:lncRNA from 1 species
CUCUUUCUUCUCUUAGUUCAGAUCUAAUGUUGAGUCCCUCUAGUGGAUGUUUGACUUCAGCUAUUGCACUUUUCAACUCCAGGAUUUCCAUUGGAUUCUUUCUUAUAAUUUUUAUUUUCUUAUUGAUAACCUCCAUUUAAAGGGGCAUUGUCAUCACAUCUCCCUUUAUUUCUUCAUUCAUGUUUCCACCUAGUUUUUAAAAUAUAUUUAUAAUAGCCGUUUUGAAAUCUUUGUUAUAUCUGACCCUCAUAGGUAUCUGAGCCCUCUCACAGUUUCUCUUGCCUGGUUUUUCUUACAUAUGGGUCACACUUUCCUA